CCUAAAUCCUAAUUUCUAUUUCUCAUUUUCUCUUCACGCCGCCUGCCUUCACUGAAGUUCAUUGAAGUCUCUUCACGCCCCUGACUCGCCACCACUGCCUACCAGAUUUGGUGAUUUUUGAAGCAGAAUGAGCAAAUCACGGUUAGUUAUAGAUAAUUGAGAGCAAGUUAUAGAUGAUUAAGAGCAAAGUUGUAGAAAGCCAGAAACCG